UACGUAGGGGGCAAGCGUUGUCCGGAUUUAUUGGGCGUAAAGAGCGUGUAGGCGGUUCGGUAGGUCCGUUGUGAAAACUCGAGCUCAACCUCGAGACGCCGAUGGAAACCCCCGAACUAGAGUCCGGAAGAGGAGAGUGGAAAUUCCUGGUGUAGCAGUCGAAAUGCGUAGAUAAUCAAGUGGAACACCAGUGGCGAAAGG
rnacentral:rRNA from 1 species